rnacentral:lncRNA from 1 species
CGCAGGUAGCCCAUCCAGAACCCGACGCUCGGGUGCUCCUCGCCGCCCUGCGGCAUCCGCCACGGGUACUGCGGUGCGCGUAUGAAGCCCCUGAGGUCGCGCACGCAGCGCCGGGACGCGUCCAGCAGGCCGGCCAGCGCAGCAUCACGCCGACGCUGCCGGCCUGCUGGACGCGUCCCGGUGCCGGUCAGCCUCAGCAUCACGCCGACGCUUUCGCCCGCUAGCUCCGCCGCCGCGGCGUCGCUGGCCGGGCUGCGGACCUCCAGGUUGUGCCGGCCUCGGAAGACGCGGUCCAUGGCGCCCAGCGCCUGCGCCCACGCCCUGAUCCUCCCCCCGACCUCCCGCCGCGGGAGGCCGUGGUCAGUCCCGCUCCCGGGGCCCAUGUCCAGCACCCAGCCAACGUCGAAGCCGGCGAUCCAUUGACGCAGAGCGCCCGCGCGUGCCGCGGCGGUGGAGGAGAAGGCGGGGAGGAGGAGGGCCAUGCGCUGCAGGUGCUUGUAGUCGUCGCCGCACAGUGGGCUGGAGGAGGACGGAGAGGUCGGGCGGAAACGCGAGAAGUGGCGCCGGGACUCGCGUGGGACGUCGGGGCAGUGCUCGUCGGUGCUGGUGGAUCCGCCGUCGCUGUCGGAGGGGCCGGAGGGGGAGGCGGCCGGGCUGCUGCCUCCGCUGCUGGAGCCGAGCCGGAAGUCGUCGGCGACCCAGAUGCGCGCGUGCAUGGCGGCUUCCCGCGCGCAUGCAGGGGUCGAUCAGUCAAUGGAGAAGAAAGAAACCACUAGCGACCUAUGGCUGGCGUGAGGGCAACGAGCGCGUGCGUGCAGGAACGGGUUGUGCCGGGGAUGAGGAAGAAGACGUGCACGCGGGGUUGCGCUUUCGCUUGAUUGGCU